AUUGAACGCUGGCGGCAGGCCUAACACAUGCAAGUCGAACGGUAACAGGAAGAAGCUUGCUUCUUUGCUGACGAGUGGCGGACGGGUGAGUAAUGUCUGGGAAACUGCCUGAUGGAGGGGGAUAACUACUGGAAACGGUAGCUAAUACCGCAUAACGUCGCAAGACCAAAGAGGGGGACCUUCGGGCCUCUUGCCAUCGGAUGUGCCCAGAUGGGAUUAGCUAGUAGGUGGGGUAACGGCUCACCUAGGCGACGAUCCCUAGCUGGUCUGAGAGGAUGACCAGCCACACUGGAACUGAGACACGGUCCAGACUCCUACGGGAGGCAGCAGUGGGGAAUAUUGCACAAUGGGCGCAAGCCUGAUGCAGCCAUGCCGCGUGUAUGAAGAAGGCCUUCGGGUUGUAAAGUACUUUCAGCGGGGAGGAAGGGAGUAAAGUUAAUACCUUUGCUCAUUGACGUUACCCGCAGAAGAAGCACCGGCUAACUCCGUGCCAGCAGCCGCGGUAAUACGGAGGGUGCAAGCGUUAAUCGGAAUUACUGGGCGUAAAGCGCACGCAGGCGGUUUGUUAAGUCAGAUGUGAAUCCCCGGGCUCAACCUGGGAACUGCAUCUGAUACUGGCAAGCUUGAGUCUCGUAGAGGGGGGUAGAAUUCCAGGUGUAGCGGUGAAAUGCGUAGAGAUCUGGAGGAAUACCGGUGGCGAAGGC
rnacentral:rRNA from 1 species